CGUACACUCCUGCGGGAGGCAGCAGUGGGGAAUAUUGCACAAUGGGCGCAAGCCUGAUGCAGCCAUGCCGCGUGUAUGAAGAAGGCCUUCGGGUUGUAAAGUACUUUCAGCGGGGAGGAAGGCGAUAAGGUUAAUAACCUUGUUGAUUGACGUUACCCGCAGAAGAAGCACCGGCUAACUCCGUGCCAGCAGCCGCGGUAAUACGGAGGGUGCAAGCGUUAAUCGGAAUUACUGGGCGUAAAGCGCACGCAGGCGGUCUGUCAAGUCGGAUGUGAAAUCCCCGGGCUCAACCUGGGAACUGCAUUCGAAACUGGCAGGCUAGAGUCUUGUAGAGGGGGGUAGAAUUCCAGGUGUAGCGGUGAAAUGCGUAGAGAUCUGGAGGAAUACCGGUGGCGAAGGCGGCCCCCUGGACAAAGACUGACGCUCAGGUGCGAAAGCGUGGGGAGCAAACAGGAUUAGAAACCCGAGUAGUCCCAUGAU
rnacentral:rRNA from 1 species